rnacentral:rRNA from 1 species
AGCUACCCAGCGAUGGGAUGCGAAUCUCGAAAGCCUGUCUCAGUUCGGAUUGGAGGCUGAAACCCGCCUCCAUGAAGUUGGAUUCGCUAGUAAUCGCGCAUCAGCCAUGGCGCGGUGAAUACGUUCCCGGGCCUUGUACACACCGCCCGUCAAGCCAUGGAAGCUGGGGGUGCCUGAAGUUCGUGACCGGAAGGAGCGACCUAGGGCAAAACCGGUGACUGGGGCUAAGUCGUAACAAGGUAUC